rnacentral:tRNA from 1 species
GCUUUCAUGGUGUAAUGGUCAGCACGCUCGGCGCGUAACCGAGAGGUCCGUGGUUCAAUUCCCGGCGAAGGCA